rnacentral:rRNA from 1 species
GGCGGACGGGUGAGUAACGCGUAAGAACUUGCCCUUUAGACUGGGAUAACAGAGGGAAACUUCUGAUAAUACUGGAUAAGUUAGUAUAUCGCAUGAUAUGCAAAUGAAAGCUACGGCACUAAAGGAGAGCUUUGCGUCCUAUUAGCUAGUUGGUAAGGUAAGAGCUUACCAAGGCGAUGAUAGGUAGCCGGCCUGAGAGGGCGGACGGCCACAAGGGGACUGAGAUACGGCCCUUACUCCUACGGGAGGCAGCAGGC